CUGUGAAGACCAUGGGAAGUGACCACAUCAUGAGGAGGUUGCUGAUGGGGGAUGAGGAAGCCUUAGAGAAAAGGUCGCCUGCCGUUGCUUGUCCCUGGGCCAGCCAUGCGCCUCAGACUUCUCUGCUGUGUGGCCCUUUUUCUCUGGGGAGCAGGCUCCAUGGACACCGAGGUCACCCAGAGUCCUGGACAUCUGGUCAAAGGAAAAGAACAGAAAGCAAAGAUGGAUUGUGUCCCCAUAAAAACACAUACUCAUGUUUAUUGGUAUCGUCAGAAGCUGGAAGGAGAGUUUGAGUUUUUGGUUUACUUACAGAAUAAAAAUAUUAUUGAUAAAUCAAAAGUACUCGAUCAGCAAUUCUUAGCUCAAUGCCCCCAAAACUCAGCCUGCAGCCUGCAAAUCAACUCCACUGAGCUAGAGGACUCAGCACUGUAUUUCUGUGCCAGCAGCCAAUCCACAGUGCUGAAUGUGAGCUUUUCUUAGAACACGAACUCAUCCCUCACUCGUCUCAGGAAAUAAGUGGUGUGUUAGGUGCAUAGGAACUAACAGAAACCCAACUUGAAAGAGCAUAAACCAGAAGGAAACAUGUGUACAUGGCAACUCUAGGUGAGCAGAAAGGAAUGU